rnacentral:rRNA from 1 species
AUACGUAGGGGGCGAGCGUUGUCCGGAAUUACUGGGCGUAAAGAGCUCGUAGGUGGUUUGUCGCGUCGUCUGUGAAAUUCCGGGGCUUAACUCCGGGCGUGCAGGCGAUACGGGCAUAACUUGAGUACUGUAGGGGAGACUGGAAUUCCUGGUGUAGCGGUGAAAUGCGCAGAUAUCAGGAGGAACACCGGUGGCGAAGGCGGGUCUCUGGGCAGUAACUGACGCUGAGGAGCGAAAGCAUGGGUAGCGAACAGGAUUAGAUACCCUGGUAGUCCAUGCCAUAAACGGUGGGCGCUAGGUGUAGGGGUCUUCCACGACUUCUGUGCCGUAGCUAACGCAUUAAGCGCCCCGCCUGGGGAGUACGGCCGCAAGGCUAAAACUCAAAUGAAUUGACGGGG